GCAAGGACUGAAUCAGAAGUGGGCUUCCAGCAUGGUAAGGGCAUACUUGCUGCGGAUGCUCUUGGUUUCCACCUCUCUUGGAGCCAGCAUGGCCCAGACAGUCACUCAGCUUCAGCAGGAAAAGUCCGUGCAGGAGGCAGAGUCGGCAACCCUGGAGUGCACCUACGACACAAGUGAUACUAAUUAUAACUUGUUCUGGUAUAGACAGCAAAGAGGGCAGAUGACUCUCGUUAUUCGCCAAGAAGCUUAUAAGCAGCAGAAUGCAACGGAAAACCACUUCUCCGUGAAUUUCCAGAAAGCAGCGAAGUCCUUCAGCCUGGAGAUCUCAGACUCGCAGCUGGAGGAUGCUGCAAUGUAUUUCUGUGCACUCAUGGAGAGGGGCACAGUGACACAGGCAACAGAGAGGGGCUAA